rnacentral:rRNA from 1 species
ACGGUAGCAGGAGAAAGCUUGCUUUCUUGCUGACGAGUGGCGGACGGGUGAGUAAUGCUUGGGAAUCUGUCUUAUGGAGGGGGAUAACGACGGGAAACUGUCGCUAAUACCGCGUAGGGUCGGGAGACGAAAGUGCGGGACUUUAUGGCCGCAUGCCAUGAGAUGAACCCAAGUGUGAUUAGGUAGUUGGUGGGGUAAGGGCCUACCAAGCCGACGAUCGCUAGCUGGUCUGAGAGGAUGGCCAGCCACACCGGGACUGAGACACGGCCCGGACUCCUACGGGAGGCAGCAGUGGGGAAUAUUGCGCAUUGGGGGCAACCCUGACGCAGCCAUGCCGCGUGAAUGAAGAAGGCCUUCGGGUUGUAAAGUUCUUUCGGUAUUGAGGAAGGUUGGUGUGUUAAUAGCAUGCCAAAUUGACGUUAAAUACAGAAGAAGCAC